rnacentral:rRNA from 1 species
AUGAAUGGUGAACGUAAGGUACACUGGAUCGCUUGGGAGAAGAUGUGUGCUGCCAAAAGGGAUGGGGGACUCGGCUUCCGUGACCCUGAGGCAUUUAACCAAGCUCUCCUAGCAAAACAAGCUUGGAGAAUUCUUCAAGUUAGUGGUUCACUAUGUGCUCGAGUGCUGAAAGUACGAUAUUUCAGGGACUCAAUCCUUUCUGCCACUUGUCCAUCAGCGGGCUCAUUCAUGUUCCAGAGUAUUCUUCAUGGCAGAGACCUUAUGAGGGAAGGACUUGUGUGGCGCAUAGGUGACGGAUCAAAUGUAAAUAUCCACCAUGACAAUUGGAUCCCGAGAGCAGGAAGCAUGAAGCCGCUCGGUCAGGAAUUUAUAUGGGGCAUAAUGAAAGUCAGAGAUCUUCUUCUCCCCAAUGGAACGGACUGGGAUGCUUCUCGGGUUGAUGCAAUAUUCACGCCAAAUGAUGCAGUGGAUAUAAAGAGGAUAGCAGUGGGAGGGCCAAAUUGUGAUGACUUCUUGGCGUGGAACUUCACUAAAAACGGAGUGUUCACGGUGAAGUCAGCUUAUCACUCGAGAAUGCCCAUGAAUAAGACAAGGUCCGGAUGGCCGGAACCCUCGACAUCUACAAAUAAACACAAAGGUUUCAUGGUGCUUUGGGACACCUCAGCACCGGGGAAAGCUAAAGUGCAUGUGUGGAGAAUGGUGAGGAACGGAUUGGCAGUUGGCUCGGAACUCCAUCGACGAAGAAUUAAACCAGGCGUGUUUUUUGUGGCGCGCAGCCGGGAGGAGAUGAUACUCCAUCAUUUCUAG